rnacentral:ncRNA from 1 species
GGGCACCUACGGGGGCCUUCAUACCAUGGUCGUCAUCGCGACGACCGACAGCAAAACGGAAGACAGACA